AGAGUUUGAUCCUGGCUCAGGAUGAACGCUAGCGGCAGGCCUAACACAUGCAAGUCGAGGGGCAGCACAGGUAGCAAUACUGGGUGGCGACCGGCGCACGGGUGAGUAACGCGUAUGCAACCUACCUUUAACAGGAGGAUAGCCCCGAGAAAUCGGGAUUAAUACUCCAUAUCAUUUAUGAAUCGCAUGGUUUAUAAAUUAAAGUUCCGACGGUUAAAGAUGGGCAUGCGUGACAUUAGCUAGUUGGUGAGGUAACGGCUCACCAAGGCUACGAUGUCUAGGGGUUCUGAGAGGAUUAUCCCCCACACUGGUACUGAGACACGGACCAGACUCUUACGGGAGGCAGCAGUGAGGAAUAUUGGUCAAUGGUCGCAAGACUGAACCAGCCAUGCCGCGUGCAGGAUGAAGGUUCUAUGAAUUGUAAACUGCUUUUAUACACCAAGAAAAACAUCCACGUGUGGGAGCCCGACGGUAGUGUAUGAAUAAGCAUCGGCUAACUCCGUGCCAGCAGCCGCGGUAAUACGGAGGAUGCAAGCGUUAUCCGGAUUCAUUGGGUUUAAAGGGUGCGUAGGCGGGAAAAUAAGUCAGUGGUGAAAUACUGCAGCUCAACUGUAAAAUUGCCAUUGAAACUGAUUUUCUUGAGUGUAAAUAAGGUAGGCGGAAUGUGUUGUGUAGCGGUGAAAUGCAUAGAUAUAACACAGAACACCAAUUGCGAAGGCAGCUUACCGGGCUACAACUGACGCUGAGGCACGAAAGCGUGGGGGGAUCAAACAGGAUUAGAUACCCUGGUAGUCCACGCUGUAAACGAUGAUUACUCGUUGUUUGCGAUAUACCGCAAGUGACUGAGCGAAAGCAUUAAGUAAUCCACCUGGGGAGUACGUUCGCAAGAAUGAAACUCAAAGGAAUUGACGGGGGCCCGCACAAGCGGAGGAACAUGUGGUUUAAUUCGAUGAUACGCGAGGAACCUUACCUGGGCUUAAAUGUAGAGCGACAGAUUGUGAAAGCAGUCCUUCUUCGGACGAUCUACAAGGUGCUGCAUGGUUGUCGUCAGCUCGUGCCGUGAGGUGUCGGCUUAAGUGCCAUAACGAGCGCAACCCUUGUCGUUAGUUGCCAUCAAGUAAUGUUGGGGACUCUAGCGAGACUGCCACCGUAAGGUGUGAGGAAGGUGGGGAUGACGUCAAAUCAGCACGGCCCUUAUGUCCAGGGCUACACACGUGUUACAAUGGCAGGUACAGAGGGCAGCUACCCAGCGAUGGGAUGCGAAUCUCGAAAGCCUAUCUCAGUUCGGAUCGGAGUCUGCAACUCGACUCCGUGAAGUUGGAUUCGCUAGUAAUCGCGCAUCAGCCAUGGCGCGGUGAAUACGUUCCCGGGCCUUGUACACACCGCCCGUCAAGCCAUGGAAGCUGGGGGUGCCUGAAGUUCGUGACCGCAAGGAGCGACCUAGGGCAAAACUGGUAACUGGGGCUAAGUCGUAACAAGGUAACC
rnacentral:rRNA from 1 species